ACACACUUUGCCUUUACCACUUUCUACUGUGUGAGAACAGAACAGGAGUGCCCUCACUAGAUGCUGGACUUCCCAGCCUCUGCACCGUUCAUCUGCAUCUUGUUUAUGGGCCAUGAGAAAUAGCAGCCGAACCCUCAGUUUGGUCCAGGAACACUACCAGUGUACAACAACAGCCUAGGAGAGCUACAAGCAUGAGACUUCAACCUGUGAGUGCUGCUGUGUGGACUGAACCCAGCAAAGCCACAGGGUUGGGGCUGCCUGAGGUGUUGGGGGCACAAUCUCUGCUCCAUUGUGCCCAGAAGGCACAACAUGCAGUCAAGGAUUAUUCCCAAGCCUGAAAAUGUAAUGUUUUACCUGCUGGACUUUGGACUUAGUUGGGACCUGUUACCCUUUUUCUCUUGUCUAUUUCUGCCUUUUGGAAUAGGAACGUCUAUCCUAUGCCUGACCCACCAUGGUGCUUUGGAAGUGUGUAAUUUGUUUUGAUUUCACAGACUCAUAGCUGGUGGGGAACUUGUCUUAGGAUAAAUCCUACGUUGAGUCUCGCCUAUAUGAUAUGUAGAUGAGACCUUGGAAUUAGACUUUAAAGUUGAUGCUGGAAUGACUUGAGAACUUUGGGAAUGUUGGAAUGAAAUGGAAUUGUUUGUGUGCAAUGGACAAGAAUUUGGGGGGCUGGGGCUGAAUGCUGUGGUUUCAAUGUGUUCCCCAGAAUGCAUGUGUUCAAAACUGGGUCCCCAGUGCAACAGUGUUGGGAGGUGGGGCCUAAUAGGAGGUAGAACCUUCAUAAGUAGAUGAAUGCCAUUAUCAAAGUGGCUCUAAUUUAGGAGCAGUUUGUAUCUUCAGAGUACGGGAACUUAACAACCCUGCCCAGUGGGUUCUCAAAAUGCAGCAGAUCUGUCACAACUGUGUACACUUCAUUUUCACCCUUUUUAAAUGGGAUUAUUUAUCAAUUACCCACUCUCAGGUAUUCUGUUUUAGCAGCACAAAAUGGACUCAGACAGUAGUCCUCUCCUGUCUCAAAACAUCAACAUACUAGAUGAUUUCUUCUUCUAUUUUAUUUCCAUUUCUCAGUGGAAUAUGUUACUAGACCUAGGAUAUGGCUGUUUUGCUAGACACUGUGAAAGAAAAAUAAAUAUUGGGGCCCAAAAAUAAGCUAAAGGGAAAAGUCAAGCUGGGAACUGCUGAGAGCAAACCUGCCUCCCGUUCUAUUCCAAGUCACCUCUCUGCACACUGAGAUAAAUGUAUAUCUGAUUGCCUCUUUUGGAGAGGCUAAUCAGAAACUUAAACGAAUGCCACCACUUGUCUCUUAUCUUCCUAUGACCUGGAAGCCUCCUCCGGGCUUCCAGUCAUCUUGCCUUUGCUUCCAGUUGUCCUACCUUUCCAGACCAAACCAGUGUUCAUCUUACAUAUGUUGAUUGAUGUCUCAUGUCUCCCUAAAAUGUAUAAAACCAAACUAUUCUCUUACCACCUUGGACACAUGUCGUCAGGACCUCCUGAGGCUGUGUCAUGGGUGCAUGUCCCCAACCUUAGCAAAAUAAAC
rnacentral:lncRNA from 1 species